rnacentral:snRNA from 1 species
GAGUGUUCCAGCUCUUUUAGAAUCUGUCUAGCAAGCUUUCUGGUCUUUACAGGAAGGCCCCC